rnacentral:rRNA from 1 species
AACGAACGCUGGCAGCAUGCCUAACACAUGCAAGUCGAACGAGACCCUCGGGUCUAGUGGCGCACGGGUGCGUAACGCGUGGGAACCUGCCCUUAGGUUCGGAAUAACUCCCCGAAAGGGGUGCUAAUACCGGAUAAUGUCUUCGGACCAAAGAUUUAUCGCCUUUGGAUGGGCCCGCGUUGGAUUAGCUAGUUGGUAGGGUAAAAGCCUACCAAGGCGACGAUCCAUAGCUGGUCUGAGAGGAUGAUCAGCCACACUGGGACUGAGACACGGCCCAGACUCCUACGGGAGGCAGCAGUGGGGAAUAUUGGACAAUGGGCGAAAGCCUGAUCCAGCAAUGCCGCGUGAGUGAUGAAGGCCUUAGGGUUGUAAAGCUCUUUUACCCGGGAUGAUAAUGACAGUACCGGGAGAAUAAGCUCCGGCUAACUCCGUG